rnacentral:rRNA from 1 species
UACGGGGGGGGCAAGCGUUGUUCGGAUUUACUGGGCGUAAAGGGCGCGUAGGCGGCGUGACAAGUCACUUGUGAAAUCUCCGGGCUUAACUCGGAACGGUCAAGUGAUACUGUCGUGCUAGAGUACAGAAGGGGCAACUGGAAUUCUCGGUGUAGCGGUGAAAUGCGUAGAUAUCGAGAGGAACACCUGCGGCGAAGGCGGGUUGCUGGGCUGAUACUGACGCUGAGGCGCGAAAGCCAGGGGAGCGAACGGG